GCGCUCCCGCCCGGGCGCGCCCCCGCACGUCCCCGCCGGGACUCCGGGAGGGGUGCUGGCGGGGAGCGCGACCCCCUGGCCAAGGUCUACCGGCAGGACGUCUCCCGUCGCCCCCAUAGGAGAGGGUCCCCGCGGCCUCCAGGCUGCGCCCACGUGCGCGCAGGGUCGUCCGUCGCCCCGAGCGCCUGCUCUUCGGCCUGGGCGUGGGAGGCGCCUAGGAAGAGAGCCGAUCUGGAGUAGGCACCCGGCGGCCGGGAGGCUGGAAGGCGUCUGCCCCCAAGAGCGCCCUGGCCGUGCGCGCCGCGUCAGCCCCCUUGGCAGAGCCGCGCGCCGAUGAGUGUGGCCACGCUAGGAGAACGCAGCACUGGAGCUGGCCCCAGGCGGGCAGUGGCCUCGGGCGAGGGCAGAAGGGCACUCCGGGCAGUGAAUAGAACACUUGCUUAUCCCUUCAGAGGACAAGCCGGUGGCAGGCCUGGAGGCCCCAGUGACGGGGUCACCUAGUGGGUCACUGACCUACAGGAAUUCCUUCUCUUAGCAAGCAGAACUUUCCUUCUGACCACAAGUUGGGUAGAUGGCCCAGGCAUAAUCCAAGGCAACAUCUCAUCUCCUCACCAAGGUGAUUGGGCAAAAAGGCACCUUGGUGCGAUACAAGCCCAAUGAGAAUUAUUCCAUGUUCUUGCUACUUGGACACAGGGAGAAAGCAACUCAAGUGGAAAGAAAGCAGCUUAUUGUUCAGGAACUCUUUGAGAUCUCCUCCAUAUCUCCAGGACCUUGUACAGUUCAAGAUACAUAAUAAUUUCUUGAGGAAAAAAAAAAGCUUGUUAAAUAAAAUAAUUAGCAAAUACUCAGCCUUCAAAGUUCCCAGAGACUGGUUCUUGGUGCAUCCUAAUUGCUCCAAAAUUGCUUGUCGAAUGAAAAAAAUAAAUCAGUGAAUCUUCAGGCUUCAAAUAUCAUCCCGAUCUCAUUUUAGUUUAAAUUUAAAAUAUUUCCUUACUCCUUACACGAAAAUUAAUUCAAGAUGGAUU